UGGAGAGUUUGAUCCUGGCUCAGGACGAACGCUGGCGGCAUGCCUAAUACAUGCAAGUCGAGCGGACUUGAAGAGAAGCUUGCUUCUCKGAURGUUAGCGGCGGACGGGUGAGUAACACGUAGGCAACCUGCCCUCAAGUUUGGGACAACUACCGGAAACGGUAGCUAAUACCGAAUAAUUGUUUUCUUCGCCUGAAGRRAACUGGAAAGACGGAGCAAUCUGUCACUUGGGGAUGGGCCUGCGGCGCAUUAGCUAGUUGGUGAGGUAACGGCUCACCAAGGCGACGAUGCGUAGCCGACCUGAGAGGGUGAUCGGCCACACUGGGACUGAGACACGGCCCAGACUCCUACGGGAGGCAGCAGUAGGGAAUCUUCCGCAAUGGGCGAAAGCCUGACGGAGCAAUGCCGCGUGAGUGAUGAAGGUUUUCGGAUCGUAAAGCUCUGUUGCCAGGGAAGAACGCUUGGGAGAGUAACUGCUCUCAAGGUGACGGUACCUGAGAAGAAAGCCCCGGCUAACUACGUGCCAGCAGCCGCGGUA
rnacentral:rRNA from 1 species